rnacentral:rRNA from 1 species
UUGGGUAGGGGAGCGUUCUGUAAGCCUGCGAAGGUGUACUGUGAGGUAUGCUGGAGGUAUCAGAAGUGCGAAUGCUGACAUAAGUAACGAUAAUGCGGGUGAAAAACCCGCACGCCGGAAGACCAAGGGUUCCUGUCCAACGUUAAUCGGGGCAGGGUGAGUCGACCCCUAAGGCGAGGCUGAAAAGCGUAGUCGAUGGGAAACGGGUUAAUAUUCCCGUACUGGUGGUAACUGCGAUGGGGGAACGGAGAAGGCUAGGUUGUCCGGGCGACGGUCGUCCCGGUUCAAGCAGGUAGGCAGAGUGAUUAGGCAAAUCCGGUCACUUAAUGCUGAGAUGUGAUGACGAACCACCAAGGUGGUGAAGCAAUUGAUGCCCCGCUUCCAGGAAAAGCCUCUAAGCUUCAGGUUACCAACAAUCGUACCCCAAACCGACACAGGUGGUCAGGUAGAGAAUACUCAGGCGCUUGAGAGAACUCGGGUGAAGGAACUAGGCAAAAUGGUGCCGUAACUUCGGGAGAAGGCACGCUGGCGGUAGGUAAAGUCCCUCGCGGACGGCGCUGAAGCCAGUCGAAGAUACCAGCUGGCUGCAACUGUUUAUUAAAAACACAGCACUGUGCAAACACGAAAGUGGACGUAUACGGUGUGACGCCUGCCCGGUGCUGGAAGGUUAAUUGAUGGGGUUAGCGUAAGCGAAGCUCCUGAUCGAAGCCCCAGUAAACGGCGGCCGUAACUAUAACGGUCCUAAGGUAGCGAAAUUCCUUGUCGGGUAAGUUCCGACCUGCACGAAUGGCGUAAUGAUGGCCAGGCUGUCUCCACCCGAGACUCAGUGAAAUUGAACUCGCUGUGAAGAUGCAGUGUACCCGCGGCAAGACGGAAAGACCCCGUGAACCUUUACUAUAGCUUGACACUGAACAUUGAGCCUUGAUGUGUAGGAUAGGUGGGAGGCUUUGAAGUGUGGACGCCAGUCUGCAUGGAGCCAACCUUGAAAUACCACCCUUUAACGUUUGAUGUUCUAACCUAGGCCCAUAAACUGGGUCGGGGACCGUGUCUGGUGGGUAGUUUGACUGGGGCGGUCUCCUCCUAAAGAGUAACGGAGGAGCACGAAGGUUGGCUAAGCAUGGUCGGACAUCAUGCGGUUAGUGCAAAGGCAUAAGCCAGCUUGACUGCGAGAGUGACGGCUCGAGCAGGUACGAAAGUAGGUCUUAGUGAUCCGGUGGUUCUGAAUGGAAGGGCCAUCGCUCAACGGAUAAAAGGUACUCCGGGGAUAACAGGCUGAUACCGCCCAAGAGUUCAUAUCGACGGCGGUGUUUGGCACCUCGAUGUCGGCUCAUCACAUCCUGGGGCUGAAGUAGGUCCCAAGGGUAUGGCUGUUCGCCAUUUAAAGUGGUACGCGAGCUGGGUUUAGAACGUCGUGAGACAGUUCGGUCCCUAUCUGCCGUGGGCGUUGGAAGAUUGAGAGGGGUUGCUCCUAGUACGAGAGGACCGGAGUGAACGCACCACUGGUGUUCGGGUUGUCAUGCCAAUGGCAUUGCCCGGUAGCUAAGUGCGGAAGAGAUAACCGCUGAAAGCAUCUAAGCGGGAAACUUGCCUCGAGAUGAGUCUUCCCUGUCGCUUUAAGCGACCUAAAGGAACGUUUAAGACUAAGACGUUGAUAGGCUGGGUGUGUAAGCGUAGCGAUACGUUGAGCUAACCAGUACUAAUGAACCGUGAGGCUUAACC